rnacentral:rRNA from 1 species
UUUUAUUUGAGAGUUUGAUCCUGGCUCAGGAUGAACGCUGGCGGCGUGCCUAACACAUGCAAGUUGAGCGAUUUACUUCGGUAAAGAGCGGCGGACGGGUGAGUAACGCGUGGGUAACCUACCCUGUACACACGGAUAACAUACCGAAAGGUAUGCUAAUACGGGAUAAUAUAUUUGAGAGGCAUCUCUUGAAUAUCAAAGGUGAGCCAGUACAGGAUGGACCCGCGUCUGAUUAGCUAGUUGGUAAGGUAACGGCUUACCAAGGCGACGAUCAGUAGCCGACCUGAGAGGGUGAUCGGCCACAUUGGAACUGAGACACGGUCCAAACUCCUACGGGAGGCAGCAGUGGGGAAUAUUGCACAAUGGGCGAAAGCCUGAUGCAGCAACGCCGCGUGAGUGAUGCAGGCCUUCGGGUCGUAAAACUCUGUCCUCAAGGAAGAUAAUGACGGUACUUGAGGAGGAAGCCCCGGCUAACUACGUGCCAGCAGCCGCGGUAAUACGUAGGGGGCUAGCGUUAUCCGGAUU